CCUACGGGAGGCAGCAGUGGGGGAUAUUGCACAAUGGGGGGAACCCUGAUGCAGCGACGCCGUGGGCGAAGAAGCGCCUCGGCGCGUAAAGCCCUGUCAGUAGGGAAGAAAAAGACGGUACCUGAAGAAGAAGCCCCGGCUAACUACGUGCCAGCAGCCGCGGUAAUACGUAGGGGGAAGGCGUUAUCCGGAUUGAGGGGGUGUAAAGGGGGCGAAGACGGCGAUGCAAGGCAGGAGUGAAAGCCCGGGGCCCAACCCCGGGACUGCGCUUGGAAGUGCGUGGCUGGAGUGCGGGAGGGGCAGGCGGAAUUCCUGGUGUAGCGGUGAAAUGCUUAGAUAUCAGGAGGAACACCGGUGGCGAAGGCGGCCUGCUGGACUGCAACUGACGUUGAGGCCCGAAAGCGUGGGGAGCAAACAGGAUUAGAUACCCUAGUAGUC
rnacentral:rRNA from 1 species